rnacentral:rRNA from 1 species
UACGUAGGGGGCAAGCGUUGUCCGGAUUUAUUGGGCGUAAAGAGCGUGUAGGCGGUUUGGUAGGUCCGCUGUGAAAACUCGAGCUCAACCUCGAGACGCCGGUGGAAACCAUCAGACUAGAGUCCGGAAGAGGAGAGUGGAAUUCCCGGUGUAGCGGUGAAAUGCGCAGAUAUCGGGAAGAACACCCGUGGCGAAGGCGGCACUCUGGGACGGUACUGACGCAUGAGACGGCGAAAAGCGUGGGGAGCGAACAGG